UACGGAGGGUGCGAGCGUUAAUCAGAAUUACUGGGCGUAAAGCGCACGUAGGCGUCCUGUUAAGCAAGAUGUGAAAGCCCAGGGCUCAACCUUGGAAUUGCAUUUUGAACUGGCAAGCUAGAGUAUUGAAGAGGGUGGUAGAAUUUCCAGUGUAGCGGUGAAAUGCGUAGAUAUUGGAAGGAAUACCAGUGGCGAAGGCGGCCACCUGGGCAAAAACUGACGCUGAGGAGCGAAAGCGUGGGGAGCAAACAGG
rnacentral:misc_RNA from 1 species